CGGCUAUAUAAGGGACUGCAGGGUGCGUCGUUCUUCCUUUCGCGGCGGGGUUGCAAGGUGGCGUCAGUGGGUGUAAGCCUUGUGGUGGCACCCUAGCUGCAGGAUCGGGCCCAGGUGGCCCUGUGUGUGGGUCCACUGCUGAAGGGGCGAGCUGAGAACACUGUCGGCGGGGACAAUGGCUCCCAAGGCCGGAGUGGAGUUGUCACCUGCGGUGUUAAGGUGCAAAAGGAGAAUCGCAAAAUUUGGGGAGAAAUACAGGUUGGAAACCACUUGAGUCAAACCCGACGUCUGUACCAGAUGUGUUUUGAAAUGGUGUUUUGAUUUUGGCAGAGACUUAACUGUUAGCCCGCAUAAUGGUUCAACGAAAAAUUGCUUUAUUUGAUUAACCGGUGAAUCUGCGGGGGAAUAGCGGAUGUCGACCACCAGAUAAUCUUGAGAUGAGAGGUCGCUGUCCAUCCAAAGUCCAUUUUGCUGUGAGGCUGCUGCUGUGACCCAUUUCUGGUUACAGCCAAAGGAUACACUUCUGGAAAGGGUGAUUGGAAAAAGUUUUGUGGACCUGGAAAGAAAGCAUUGCAAGUCAAGGCGGAGUGUGUUGAUUUUUGUGUGUGUGUAUGUGAUGACUGGCACACUAGUGCUCAAUUUCCCCAAUCUCCUUGAUCACCUCUUUGGAAAUAAAAAUGCAUAAUUAUAAUAAAAAGUUGAGUGAAA